ACGACGACGAGGAAGAUCCCAUGGCCGCUUUUGGCCAUUGAAAGUGGAGCCGACUCGAGAGCCAAGGGAGCAGCCAACCAGCUCCAAGUCCAGUUCGUCUACACACCGCUGGGCAAGUGCUAACCACUUGGUCCAAGCUAUUUGAUUUCACUGACCUCAAUUAUGGCUGCAAACGAGAUGGUCCGCGCGGUUGGGAAGUAGCAAGACCCAUAGACCCCAGGCUUCUCCUCUUGCCGAACUAUUGAAUUAUUCAUUUUCCAAAAAAAAAAAAGAAACAAGAUGGUUAAAACCAAAAGAUAGAAGAGAGAAAUCCGCCAACAAAAUCCAAUAAAAUGGUAUUGUCGGGGGAACCAGUGGCCAAAUGGCAAAUGGCAAAACGGCAGCGACAUCUUGCCUAAUUACAACAGAUCUACGGGUAUGGAUGUGCAGCCUCCCAAAAGUUGCUAUACUCGUGCUCGUAUUUGUCCAGUUCCAAAAUCCUCUUGCUCUCGAGAAGAAGCACUUAGCCAGCUUGUUGGAGCUUAUGCAAUGGCAUUCUGUCUGGGAUUUGCAUCACUGAGCGUGGCCAGCUUUUGUUGUCAUGGAAUUUCAUAGCCACAAUGGAAAGGAUUUCGACCAUGGAAUUGAGGUAAUUACUUAGCAGGUGCUGCUGCCAAGUGGAGGAUUACCUGGCAAGUGUAACUUUUAUUUUUAGUCACAAUCUUAAACUUUGUCACGUUUUCUGGCCAAGAUUACAGUCAUAUAAUUGUUGUUCCUAGGCUUUAUCGAAAAUUAAACAGUCACGAUUUUUGGCAGGUUUUACUAUAUAAACAAGUUGAACUGUCUAUAAGAAAAACUUCGAAAUGAAACUCUUUCUACGUUGGCUUCUCCUUACUCUUAUACUCAUUCUGUCUGAGGAACAGAAAAUAAAUCGAAUUUUGUAUCUCAAGAAAAAGUUAAUCACCUGAAAUGUAAUUCGUUAAAUAAAUUUUUAAUUUUUAUGAUUGUUAUUAUCA